CGGCCGCGGUACCCUGACCGUGCUAAGGUAGCAUAAUCCCUUGCCUCCUAAUUAGUGGCUAGUAUGAAUGGAUAAACGAAAAUCAAGCUGUCUCUAUAAAUUUCAUAAAAAUUAUCCCUCAAGUGAAGAGACUUGAAUCAAGAUAAAAGACAAGAAGACCCUGUAGAGCCUAAGCAAAAUUAAAAGCAAAGAACAUAAUAAAACCCUUUCCCUUUAAUCUAGCUCCAGUUGGGGCGACUCGGGAGCACCAAAACCCUCCUUUUCCUUCUAGGCCCUUCAGCCAAAUCAACUGAUCCAUUACCAAAUGAUUAAAAAACCAGGCUACCUCAGGGAUAACAGUCUAAUCUUCCUUAAGAGUCCAUAUUGACAGGAAGGAUUGGCACCUCGAUGUUGGCUUAGGGGCACUCCUCGGCGCAGCCACCUUGGAAGUAGGUUUGUUCAACCUUUUAUACCCUACGUGAUC
rnacentral:rRNA from 1 species